rnacentral:rRNA from 1 species
GUUUCCGUAGUGAACUGCGGAAGGAUCAUUA